UAUAAUUCGCAAGAGAUAAUAGCACAGCAGUAGCCCGAUGAAGUAAUUCCACUCAGUUUGUAUUGAACCGGUCGUACAGGAUGAGCCAAAGACAUGAAGGGAUUGAAUGUGACGUUUGCAGCACUGGGAACUUUACCAGCAAUCGAUAUGCUUGUCUGGUAUGCGAGAACUAUGAUUUAUGUGAAAAGUGCUUCGACCGACGAUAUUCCAACUUGCAUCACAAGCCAUACCAUCCAAUGCAGAAAAUUCUAUCGGAAGUAGAUUUUUUCAAAAAACUUGAUGAAAGUGAAUCGGGCGAAGUGUACCUAUUUUGCUGCCCUUAUUGCGGUGAAAACGAAUUUACCGCUAGUGGCCUAAUAGCGCAUUGUGGCAUUUAUCAUCGCAUUGGCGGGCACCGAGUGCGAUGUCCAAUAUGCAUCCUUUACCAGAGGAAUCACGUACCACUUCUGAUCGUUACCUUACACCAACAUGCACUAAAAAUGCAUAAUGAAUACUGCACUCUAACAAACGUGACUACUAAAACUCUAGAUACACAGGAGUGUACCAUUUGUAUAGAGAAAAUACAGCCAAAUUGUGAUAUACAAUUUUUACCUUGUUCACAUACGUUUCAUUCAGAAUGUAUAAAAGCAUGGCUGCGAAAUAGUGCUACCUGUCCAGUGUGCAGAGUUGAGAUAGAUAAUAAAACUUGAGUCGAAUGAUCACAGAAA